rnacentral:rRNA from 1 species
AUCGCCCUUUGAAAAAAUACUUAUAAAGGGUACUGCCUGCCCAGUGACAAAAGUUUAACGGCCGCGGUACUUUGACCGUGCAAAGGUAGCAUAAUCAUUUGUUCUUUAAUUGAGGACUAGUAUGAAAGGCAAAACGAAAGCUUAACUGUCUCCUUUUUAAAAAACGAAAUUAGUAUUUUUGUGAAGAAACAAGAAUAAUAAAGUAAGACGAGAAGACCCUGUCGAGCUUAAGAAAAUUUUUAUAACAACUUACACUAAUAGAUAAAACUAAUUUUACUAUAAAAUUAACAUAAAAAUAUCUUUGGUUGGGGCAACCACGAAGAAAAAAAAACCUUUGUUUAAAAAAAGAAAUUUACAAAUUUAAAAAUUACUAAAAUUUUAAAGAUCCAGAAAAUUCUGAUCAAAGAAAAAAGUUACCGCAGGGAUAACAGCGUUAUUCUCUUUAAGAGCUCUUAUUGACAAGAGAGUUUGCGACCUCGAUGUUGGAUCGGGGCAUCCAAGAGGUGUAGCAGCCUCUAAAGGUAGGUCUGUUCGACCUUUAAAGCCCUACGUGAU